ensembl:snoRNA
ACCCCCUGGCAAUGGGCAAAGAGACACCUCACUAGUGGUGUUACUCUUAUAUCAGUCAGGGGCAGAGUAGAAGAUAGUCCUUUGUUCAUCCUAGCUUGAUGCCUGUGUUGUGGCCAGAGCUGUUUCAUGCCUAGGGCACAUAA